CCCCUCUCAGGGUCACACCUGGAUAGUUUCCAGUACUCUACCAGUCUCGACUACAGGAGGGAGAGUCAAGCAGAGGCAUACCCAUUUCAUUCCUAGCUUGGGCAACAGCUAGCGAGUGGAAGGCAAUCUGCUAUAAGU